GUGGGGAAUCUUGCGCAAUGGGCGAAAGCCUGACGCAGCCAUGCCGCGUGAAUGAUGAAGGUCUUAGGAUUGUAAAAUUCUUUCACCGGGGACGAUAAUGACGGUACCCGGAGAAGAAGCUCCGGCUAACUUCGUGCCAGCAGCCGCGGUAAUACGAAGGGGGCUAGCGUUGCUCGGAAUUACUGGGCGUAAAGGGCGCGUAGGCGGACAGCUUAGUCAGAGGUGAAAGCCCAGGGCUCAACCUUGGAAUUGCCUUUGAUACUGGCUGUCUUGAGUUUGGGAGAGGUGAGUGGAACUCCGAGUGUAGAGGUGAAAUUAGUAGAUAUUCGGAAGAACACCAGUGGCGAAGGCGACUCACUGGCCCAAUACUGACGCUGAGGCGCGAAAGCGUGGGGAGCAAACAGGAUUAGAUACCCUUGUAGUCC
rnacentral:rRNA from 1 species